GAUGAACGCUGGCGGCGUGCCUAAUACAUGCAAGUCGAGCGAACAGACGAGGAGCUUGCUCCUCUGACGUUAGCGGCGGACGGGUGAGUAACACGUGGAUAACCUACCUAUAAGACUGGGAUAACUUCGGGAAACCGGAGCUAAUACCGGAGAAUAUAUUGAACCGCAUGGUUCAAUAGUGAAAGACGGUUUUGCUGUCACUUAUAGAUGGAUCCGCGCCGCAUUAGCUAGUUGGUAAGGUAACGGCUUACCAAGGCGACGAUGCGUAGCUGACCUGAGAGGGUGAUCAGCCACACUGGAACUGAGACACGGUCCAGACUCCUACGGGAGGCAGCAGUAGGGAAUCUUCGGCAAUGGGCGCAAGCCUGACGGAGCAACGCCGCGUGAGUGAUGAAGGUCUUCGGAUCGUAAAGCUCUGUUAUUAGGGAAGAACAGAUGUGUGAGUAACUAUGCACGUCUUGACGGUACCUAAACAAAAAGCCACGGCUAACUACGUG
rnacentral:rRNA from 1 species